GGGGAAUCUUGCACAAUGGGCGAAAGCCUGAUGCAGCGACGCCGCGUGAGGGACGAAGGCCUUCGGGUUGUAAACCUCUUUCAGUAGGGAAGAAGCGAAAGUGACGGUACCUGCAGAAGAAGCGCCGGCUAACUACGUGCCAGCAGCCGCGGUAAUACGUAGGGCGCAAGCGUUGUCCGGAAUUAUUGGGCGUAAAGAGCUCGUAGGCGGUUUGUCACGUCUGCUGUGAAAACCCGAGGCUCAACCUCGGGCUUGCAGUGGGUACGGGCAGACUAGAGUGCGGUAGGGGAGACCGGAAUUCCUGGUGUAGCGGUAAAAUGCACAGAUAUCAGGAGGAACACCGAUGGCGAAGGCAGGUCUCUGGGCCGCAACUGACGCUGAGGAGCGAAAGCAUGGGUAGCAAAC
rnacentral:rRNA from 1 species